CAGCAGUGGGGAAUAUUGCACAAUGGGCGCAAGCCUGAUGCAGCGACGCCGCGUGCGGGAUGACGGCCUUCGGGUUGUAAACCGCUUUUGAUCGGGAGCAAGCCUUCGGGUGAGUGUACCUUUCGAAUAAGCACCGGCUAACUACGUGCCAGCAGCCGCGGUAAUACGUAGGGUGCAAGCGUUAUCCGGAAUUAUUGGGCGUAAAGGGCUCGUAGGCGGUUCGUCGCGUCCGGUGUGAAAGUCCAUCGCUUAACGGUGGAUCUGCGCCGGGUACGGGCGGGCUGGAGUGCGGUAGGGGAGACUGGAAUUCCCGGUGUAACGGUGGAAUGUGUAGAUAUCGGGAAGAACACCAAUGGCGAAGGCAGGUCUCUGGGCCGUUACUGACGCUGAGGAGCGAAAGCGUGGGGAGCGAACAGGAUUAGAUACCCUGGUAGUCCACGCCGUAAACGGUGGAUGCUGGAUGUGGGGCCCGUUCCACGGGUUCCGUGUCGGAGCUAACGCGUUAAGCAUCCCGCCUGGGGAGUACGGCCGCAAGGCUAAAACUCAAAGAAAUUGACGGGGGCCCGCACAAGCGGCGGAGCAUGCGGAUUAAUUCGAUGCAACGCGAAGAACCUUACCUGGGCUUGACAUGUUCCCGACAGCCGUAGAGAUAUGGCCUCCCUUCGGGGCGGGUUCACAGGUGGUGCAUGGUCGUCGUCAGCUCGUGUCGUGAGAUGUUGGGUUAAGUCCCGCAACGAGCGCAACCCUCGCCCUGUGUUGCCAGCACGUCAUGGUGGGAACUCACGGGGGACCGCCGGGGUCAACUCGGAGGAAGGUGGGGAUGACGUCAGAUCAUCAUGCCCCUUACGUCCAGGGCUUCACGCAUGCUACAAUGGCCGGUACAACGGGAUGCGACACGGCGACGUGGAGCGGAUCCCUGAAAACCGGUCUCAGUUCGGAUUGGAGUCUGCAACCCGACUCCAUGAAGGCGGAGUCGCUAGUAAUCGCGGAUCAGCAACGCCGCGGUGAAUGCGUUCCCGGGCCUUGUACACACCGCCCGUCAAGUCAUGAAAGUGGGUAGCACCCGAAGCCGGUGGCCUAACCCUUUGUGGAUGGAGCCGUCUAAGGUGAGACUCGUGAUUGGGACUAAGUCGUAACAAGGUAGCCGUACCGGAAGGUGCGGCUG
rnacentral:rRNA from 1 species